GGAGGAGCAAAAUAAGCCGGACGUGGUAAACAUUAAGUUACCGCGUCCGGCUUUUUAGUAUCCAUAUCCCAGACCA
rnacentral:tRNA from 1 species